rnacentral:lncRNA from 1 species
AAGUAUGUCCUUCAUGAAUUUGGCAUACUUGGGCAUUUGCUCCAAGGCUUCGGCAAACGGAAUGUUGAUUUGCAAUUGUUUAAAAAUAUCCAUGAACCGGGCGUAAUGCCGUUCAUUCUCCCUUUUGGACGGAGCAUGAGGAUAAGGAAGGUUUUGGAUUGGAGUAGCGCUCACUACCUCCUUUCCUUUUGCAAUUCUCGAACUCCUCCAUCUAGGUUUUUU